AUUGAACGCUGGCGGCAGGCUUAACACAUGCAAGUCGAGCGAGCGGCGGACGGGUGAGUAAUGUCUGGGAAUCUGCCUGAUGGAGGGGGAUAACUACUGGAAACUGUAUCUAAUACCGUAUACCAUCAUAUGUGCCCAGAUGGGAUUAGCUAGUAGGUGGGGUAAUGGCCCACUUAGGCGACGAUCCCUAGCUGGUCUGAGAGGAUGACCAGCCACACUGGAACUGAGACACGGCCCAGACUCCUACGGGAGGCAGCAGUGGGGAAUAUUGCACAAUGGGCGCAAGCCUGAUGCAGCCAUGCCGCGUGUGUGAAGAAGGCCUUGGGGUUGUAAAGCACUUUCAGUGGGGAGGCGUUACUCACAGAAGAAGCACCGGCUAACUCCGUGCCAGCCGCCGCGGUAAUAC
rnacentral:rRNA from 1 species